rnacentral:rRNA from 1 species
UACGGGAGGCAGCAGUGGGGAAUUUUCCGCAAUGGGCGAAAGCCUGACGGAGCAAUACCGCGUGAGGGACGACGGCUUUUGGGUUGUAAACCUCUUUUCCCUGGGAAGAAGAUCUGACGGUACCAGGGGAAUCAGCAUCGGCUAACUUCGUGCCAGCAGCCGCGGUAAUACGAGGGAUGCAAGCGUUAUCCGGAAUUAUUGGGCGUAAAGCGUCCGCAGGUGGCUCUGUAAGUCUGUCGUUAAAGAAUGGGGCUCAACCCCAUACAGGCGAUGGAAACUACAAGGCUAGAGUUUGGUAGGGGUCACGGGAAUUCUUAGUGUAGCGGUGAAAUGCGUAGAUAUUAAGAAGAACACCAGCGGCGAAAGCGCGUGACUGGGCCAGUAUUCACUCAUGGACGAAAGCUA